AAGGGAAACGACUUUGGACUCACGUAGGCAUAGGAGAACGAAACUUCUGUACAUUUUAAUCUGAAUAAUUCUUCAGGAUUUAAAAUUAAUUGGCUCUGGCUUGGUUGGACCGUACUCGGAUCUCGCCACCUCUGCGUUUCCCGAGUCACUGGCGAAGAGGUCCCAGUUCCUCUGGGAAUCAUCCUGUAUGCAACAUCUUCACAAGAGUGGCAGGCAGUUGAAUCUCUGGCCUUCGUGGGACCACUGGACAUCUGGCAGAGAACCAGGAAACCACGGUUCCCUUCUGUGAGUCCCUCAGCCGGAAAACUACAAGCUCCUCAUGCAGCUGCUGUCUGCAGACCCCCUGGACUGCCUGGGGAAGUGAGUCGGAGCUCCUGCAGCAGAGGGGUGGAACAGCUACACGAAGAUCCGAAGGUGGCCAAAAAUAACAGCGCUUUCCAGAUGAGGGUAAUGUUAUAGCCAAGAUCAUCGCUGGGGUAGGGUGUCUUGUUCUUUGUUUUACAACCUUAAAAGUACACAGAAGACUCAAAGAUCAUUCAGGAAGGAG
rnacentral:antisense_RNA from 1 species